rnacentral:rRNA from 1 species
CCUACGGGAGGCAGCAGUGAGGAAUAUUGGUCAAUGGGCGCGAGCCUGAACCAGCCAAGUAGCGUGAGGGAUGACUGCCCUACGGGUUGUAAGCUUCUUUUAUAGAGGAAUAAAGUGAGGCACGUGUGCCUUUUUGUAUGUACUUUAUGAAUAAGGAUCGCCUAACUCCGUGCCAGCAGCCGCGGUAAUACGGAGGAUCCGAGCGUUAUCCGGAUUUAUUGGGUGUAAAGGGAGCGUAGAUGGGUUGUUAAGUCAGUUGUGAAAGUUGGGGGCUCAACCGUAAAAUUGCAAUGGAUACUGGCAGCCUUGAGUACAGUUGAGGUAGGCGGAAUUCGUGGUGUAGCGGUGAAAUGCUUAGAUAUCACGAAGAACACCGAUGGCGAAGGCAGCUUACUAAACUGCCACUGACAUUGAGGCUCGAAAGUGUGGGGAUCAAACAGGAUUAGAUACCCGUGUAGUC